UACGAUGUUUUUUUUAUUUAUGGUUUUACAGUUUAUAUACAUACAUGUCAUCAGUUUCUUUUUGUAUGGGCUGUCAAGCAAGGACAAUAAUCUUUGGGCUACAGGGGAUUUUUUUUUUGUUUUUUUUGGUUCUGGCAGGUUGGUUCCUGGGAAAAGUUUGGCAGCUAAGAGUUUUCCACACUGUAUCCAUGUAAAUGACAUGCUAGUGCUAUGGCGACCGUGUGUUUUUGGCUACGGACUGCUGGACAGCUCACCAAGCAGUGAACUGAGGGACCACCCCCCCCAAUCUUUACUGACAUAGCUAUCAAGGGCCACAAGGAGGGAAACAUAGCAAACAACUGGAAGAAGACAGCAAUUCACCCAAAAAGCAGAUUCCCCCCCUGUUUUUGCGGCACUGAUACAUAACUCUGCGACAAUGCAACUGAAACGUACCAUACUGGCUCUUUGCUUCCUUGGCGCAGUAGCUUUGUGUCAAGAUCAGUCAACGAAUAGCCCACAUGUCUCAUCACCUGUGACGGGAGAAACGCCAUCAGAUGUGACAUCAGGUAUGACAGCAGAGAGGCCAACUGCCCCACUUUCUACAAAUGGCCCGACUGAUAAACCCGCCGCUGCCACAACUGGUCAGUCCGCCCUACCUUCAACUGGACAAACUGGAGCCCCAGAAACCAGCGAAACCACCGUGGAUGUGGGAGAGGUUCCACCAGAAGGGCUUUCACCCGGCGCUAUAGCUGGCAUUACCAUCGGUUCUCUGGCUGGGGUGGCUGCAGUUGGUGGUGGGAUCUUUGGCGCGCUGAAGUACACCGGGAGGCUCUGAGAGUAAUUCCUACCAAACAGCAAUUCAAAUUGUGAAGGAUCGUUAAAUAAAAUAUUAACUAUCCUAUAAUCUCCAACAGAUUAAUCAUUGAUCAUAAUAAUGGGACAAUGAAAAGACCCUUUGUCUGACAGGCCCAAUAAAAGUAUAUACGUAUAUUUAUCUUACUUAGAAGAUGCUUUAACGGGCCAGGAGGAAGACAUAUAUUUACAUUUGACUACCUGGCUAUUUUGAGUGUCUGGCUUUAGGUUUGGAAAUAAUCCUUGGUUGAUCAAAACAAAAGUAUUGUAAUUGUACAUUUUAUGAUAAUUAGAUGUUUUAUUUUUCUUGUUUAGCAAAUAAACUAUAGAUUGUUGUGUUUUCUUUAAAUCUCUCAAUGUCAUUUAAUAUGUUUCGGGUUUCAGGCGAUUUGUUCAACAAUGGUGAGUCAGUUUUCCUAUUGCUUAAUUUUUUAUUUUCCAUAACAGCAGUACGUGAUAAUUGGAGCAUGUGCAGUACCUAAGAUUUCACAGAAUAAUAAAGUGCCAUUAAUUUACUUCUGUGCCACUUUCUCAGUAAUUAAAAUUACAUAACCUGACCACUGAGUAAUUUGAUAGCUCACCAUUGAUGAAAAUGUUUUUCUCAUUGUUAACUGGGCUUUUGAACUGAAACUCUGCAUUUCUAUAUAUGUUUUUUUUAAAAAGUGAAAUCCCUGUUAGGAUUUAAUAAAUAACUCUGAAUCUUAUGACAUUUUUUUUAACAUUUCACAUUACAUAACAAUAGCUCAAGAUCUCUGAGCAAAGUCCAGGCAUUGAUUAUCCAAGUAUGUUCCAGGAAACCUGGUUGUUUGUUCAUUUUAUGAGUGUAUUGAGUGCACAGUAUAAUGUGUGUGUGUGUGUGUGACAGUCAUGACAAACAGAUAGGGUUAUGUAUUUCAUCUGAUUUUAGAUCUCAGUCUCAGUUCAGUGCUUCAAUUUGAAAGACUGGGCACAAAAGUUCAAUCUUGACAUUGGAAAUAGUUGAAAUAAAAUUAAUGGAAUAAUGAUUAAAAUAUUUCUCGAGCUCUCAAACACAUCUCACAAAUGGUGCUUGCUCCUUGUGGAUAUGGGUCUGGGUAAAGAUCCUCUAAUACCUCAUAUCAGAAGGGCAAAGUUCUCAUUAUGCAGUAGCCCAAGUGCUCCAAAUUUAAAUUUAUUUAAGUGCAAUAUGAUUGUGUUAUCACCUAUAACUGAUAAUGUACGCCUACUGACAAGUGGUUGUAAAACUAUUGGAUAGCGUCGGACAUUGGCUCCUGCCAGUAUAAAGUAAAAUCAACAAAUUGUAUACUUAGUGUCUGGUUCCACUUAAUACUUGUAACACGACAAAAGAAGCUAAUUUAGGCGAUUUAUUUGUGGUGACAACAAGACUAGCGCUAUAGCGCCACUUGCGGUUGGCCCCCCAUUGACGACCACUGAAGUAAUGUGCAAUAAGGGAGGUUUUUCCCUGUGGUGACCAUUCUGCCGACAUUGUUUGAAUGCAGCAACAGCCCUGCAUUUCAAUGUCGUUAAAGCUUACGACAUAUUGAACAUAUUGUCCAUAACCAUGUGUUCAUAUAUGUGUAAUCACCUGCAACAAAGAAACAAUGUUUCUUUGUCAACUCUGAAUGAGUUAAAUAUAGUUACAUGAGGUGGACCCGGCCUCCGUGUGAGUCGCCAUGUUUGCUACGUCGUAUUGAAUACGGUUGUUGCACAAAAUUGCACAGAAUACUUUGCAUACGCGCGGAAAUAGAAAUCAGUGGUGUGCCACCAUAAGGGUCCCCUGUCGGGUUCUCAGUCGUUGUGGUUUGCAACUUUACCACCAGAUGCCGCCAGAAAAUUACAAAAAUUACACACUGGGGCUUUAAAUAUAGCCGGAUAGCAUACAUUUUAUUAUCAGUAGUUAAUAAAAUGCAGUACCCACUGUCUUUUUCACCAAAUCUAGCGACGCUCAGAUUUCUCUUCAGUUACUGACCGUAACCAUUUGCUUUAAGCUGCUGGUAUAGAGUAGGUUUCUAUCACAGCUUUGUUGAUAGGGCCGAUUUAAGAGGUAAGACUGAGACUGGGAAACCAAAACAAUGAGAUUAUAAAAGAGGCUAAAAUGCCUCUUAUAUACCUCAUAAGACCUGAGUCAUAUUAAGUAUGAGAGUGAUGUGGUUUGAUUAGUCGAGCUUAGAGUAGAGUAAUUUUUAACUGGCCCCAGACUGAGGUAACAUUUAGUUGCUACCUCUAAUAUUGGAUGAAGAUUCAAUCUCAACAUUCAUUGUGGAUCUCAUUGUGGAACAGUUUAUUAGAGAACGUGUUGUGUAUACGCUGUGACCGCAGAUAUGAACCAUGGGCAGGGGAUACAUGAAAUACAUCUUCUGUCAAAUAAUCCUUUUGUCCGUUUGAGAUUUAGGGCUUAACAUACUGUUUUAAAAAAAACAACAUGUUAUUUCAGUGCGAGUUUUUGAGGACUUCACUUACAGUGAUAUAUCUACUGGUAAAAAUCUAAAGUUGAUGCGGUGAUUGUUCUCUGACAUGUAGAUAGAUUUCAAUUUUUUCAAUAUCUAUUAAAGACAAAGACGUGGGUUGCUGUAUUUUUGCCACAUAUUUAACCGAGGUGAUGAUCAGGCCAAACUUCAUCGACGUCAGGACUGCGUUUGAAAGUGGACUUUAGCCCACAGGAGGAGGCUGUCACGGUUUUAUGGUAUGGUCAUCGGCUAUGGUAGUGUCAACAUCGGGAGUGCUCGGUGAGAACACUGAAAACAACACUGCUCCCAUGCAGGCAAAUUACUGUUAAUACCCUGGGCUGUGUGAUCAGCCCAUAUGGUGUGCAUGGGAGCCAGGGGGAGUGUGUGUGUGUGUGUGUGUGUGUGUGUGUGUGUGUGUGUGUGUGUGUGUGUGUGUGUGUGUGUGUGUGUGUGUGUGUGUGUGUGUGUGUGUGUGUGUGUGUGUCUGUGUGUGUGUGUGAAUGUGCACAUGACCGGGGGGAGGGGGAGUGUCCUACCAGUGUGUGUGUUUGCAAAGAUGAAAAUGAAAAUGUUUGAGAUUAGAGAUUGAAUUAUUACAUAAUUGCAUAUUUUAGUGCAGACUCUUUUGGGUGACCCACAAGGGACAAAAUCUCCUUUUUUUAAAGAAAUGUUUUCUCAUAACGUGAGUGUACGUGUUGGUACAACUUCUCGCGCACACGCAACCACG
rnacentral:lncRNA from 1 species